AGAAAUUGUAUUUAUAAAUAAUCAGAGUAGUACUAGUUAAGGUCUUGAAACUCAAAAAAUUUGGCGGUAUUUUAGUCUAUUUAGAGGAACCUGUAGUAUAAUCGAUAAUCCACGAUGGACCUUACUUAAUUUUGUUUUCAGUUUGUAUACCGCUGUUAUUUGAAUAUUUUAUAAGAAUAUUAAUUUUCUUAAUUUUUAAUUAAAAAAUAAAUCAGGUCAAGGUGCAGCUUAUGAUUAAGUAUUUAUGGGUUACAAUAAAUUAAUUUAUAUGGAUAAAGUUAUGAAAAUUAAUUUUUGAAAGCGGAUUUAAUAGUAAAUUUUUAAAGAUAAAAGAUUUGAUU
rnacentral:rRNA from 1 species